CCUACGGGAGGCAUCAGUAAGGAAUAUUGGUCAAUGGAGGCAACUCUGAACCAGCCAUGCCGCGUGCAGGAAGACGGCCCUAUGGGUUGUAAACUGCUUUUGAACUAGAGAAAACCUUGGUACGUGUACCGAGUUGAUAGUAUAGUUAGAAUAAGCAUCGGCUAACUUCGUGCCAGCAGCCGCGGUAAGACGAAGGAUGCAAGCGUUAUCCGGAUUCAUUGGGUUUAAAGGGUGCGUAGGCGGACUGAUAAGUCAGUGGUGAAAUCUCUCAGCUUAACUGAGAAACUGCCAUUGAUACUGUUAGUCUAGAGUACAGAUGAUGUGGGCGGAAUAUGACAUGUAGUGGUGAAAUACUUAGAUAUGUCAUAGAACACCGAUUGCGAAGGCAGCUCACAAAACUGUAACUGACGCUGAGGCACGAAAGUGCGGGGAUCAAACAGGAUUAGAUACCCUGGUAGUCCGCACCGUAAACGAUGAUUACUCGUUGUUGGCGAUAUGACAGUCAGCGACCAAGCGAAAGCGAUAAGAAUCCACCUGGGAGUACGCCGGCAACGGUUGAAACGUUAAAGGAAUUGACGGCUUGAGGACGNGCGAGGACGACACGAGGGAGGAGG
rnacentral:rRNA from 1 species